rnacentral:rRNA from 1 species
UACGUAGGGGGCAAGCGUUGUUCGGAAUUACUGGGCGUAAAGGGCGCGUAGGCGGCUCGGCAAGUCGGGAGUGAAAGGCCUGGGCUCAACCGAGGAACUGCUUUCGAGACUGCCGAGCUAGAGUGCGGAAGGGGCAUCUGGAAUUCCCAGUGUAGCGGUGAAAUGCGUAGAUAUUGGGAAGAACACCUGAGGCGAAGGCGGGAUGCUGGGCCGACACUGACGCUGAGGCGCGAAAGCCAGGGGAGCAAACGGG